rnacentral:rRNA from 1 species
CAAUACGUCAGCGGCAGACGGGUGAGUAACGCGUGGGAACGUACCUUUUGGUUCGGAACAACACAGGGAAACUUGUGCUAAUACCGGAUAAGCCCUUACGGGGAAAGAUUUAUCGCCGAAAGAUCGGCCCGCGUCUGAUUAGCUAGUUGGUGAGGUAACGGCUCACCAAGGCGACGAUCAGUAGCUGGUCUGAGAGGAUGAUCAGCCACAUUGGGACUGAGACACGGCCCAAACUCCUACGGGAGGCAGCAGUGGGGAAUAUUGGACAAUGGGCGCAAGCCUGAUCCAGCCAUGCCGCGUGAGUGAUGAAGGCCCUAGGGUUGUAAAGCUCUUUUGUGCGGGAAGAUAAUGACGGUACCGCAAGAAUAAGCCCCGGCUAACUUCGUGCCAGCAGCCGCGGUAAUACGAAGGGGGCUAGCGUUGCUCGGAAUCACUGGGCGUAAAGGGUGCGUAGGCGGGUCUUUAAGUCAGGGGUGAAAUCCUGGAGCUCAACUCCAGAACUGCCUUUGAUACUGAGGAUCUUGAGUUCGGGAGAGGUGAGUGGAACUGCGAGUGUAGAGGUGAAAUUCGUAGAUAUUCGCAAGAACACCAGUGGCGAAGGCGGCUCACUGGCCCGAUACUGACGCUGAGC